UGGGGAAUUUUGGACAAUGGGGGAAACCCUGAUCCAGCAAUGCCGCGUGAGUGAAGAAGGCCUUCGGGUUGUAAAGCUCUUUUGUCAGGGAAGAAACACCGGCUCUAACACAGUCCGGGAAUGACGGUACCUGAAGAAUAAGCACCGGCUAACUACGUG
rnacentral:rRNA from 1 species